GCCCCAUGCUGCGGGACGCCACCUGCCUUCCCCCCACCGUCGCUUGCCGCCUCCCUCCCCAACAACGUCGCGGCUACCCCGUGUUUCCACCCCCUGCAGCUCUUUGCGCCGAGAUGGUCGCCCGCAUUGUGUCGAUGCACCACUGCCGCGUGCAGGAAGUUCAACUCCACAAUCCGCGUCCGUUCUAUCUCGCUGCUGUUGGCGUGCCCCGCUCCAACUCCAUCGCCUCUGCUUCACUGGUAAAACAGUGCGACCUGAGGAACCACGGGGGUUCGAGGACGUCCAGCUCCGUAGUCCAAUUCGGUAUGAUUCACGUAACCGAUAGCCCCCAUGUAGCAUCCCAGUAUGUAUUUUAUCAUCAGUUCUUAAAGGAAAGUUGAAUUAGUGCAGUGUGUGUGUUCAAAAAAUAAUUUCAGUUUUAUAUUUUAUAGAAAAUUUAUAAUAGUUCCCACUUUUCAGUCCAUCUACUUCCCGGUCAUAAGUCCAAUUAGUAGAAAUUCAAAUAUGAAAAUAGCAUCCAUUUUGUUCUGGUAAUCAUCUUCAACCAAUUUUGUAUGUAUCAGACUUGCAUAUGUUAAUUAGUAGGGUAGAUCUCUGUUGUAUAAGAAGCUAGAUGUUGAUUUAUAAUUAUGCUGUGACUAUGCUGUGACAAAGCUAGAUGUAGAUCUCUUACUACAUUUCUUUGUUCUUUUCAUUCUGAAAAGGCUACCUUAGCAGCACAACUACAGUUUUUUUCCUUUUCAGCUCUCAAACUACAUCCUAGUUUUGUUGUCAGUUCUCUGUUUUUGAUGGAUCUGAUAUGGUUAGCCCUAUCUAGUUUUUCUGUAUGUACAGUGCUCUAGCAAAAUUUGUUGCUUCUUUCUUGUAGUACUAAUGUUGUUGCUUCUCCAAUCGAAUGUUGCUCAGCUUCCUCCCAAUCCGCUUGAUCUCGUCUUGCUCCGAAGCAUGCUUCAGUUCGACAAUAAGCUCUAGAAAGGUUCAGAGUACUUUGCACUUCAGGUUGUGGUGGGUCGUGUGUUAUGAUGUGUUCAUCGCUAGUUCCUACAGAGACGUACUCUAUGUGGACUUUUCUGUUAUAGCUAAUUGAUCGAACAUAUCUCAUAGUGAUGUGGUUCCUUCUCUGUAUUUCUUUUGCUGUGGUGCACUACCAUAUUUGCAGAAAAAAUAAGUUCUUUUGUGAGAGAAUUCGGUCUGGAAUCAUGGGAAAAAGAGGAUACAUUGAACUGGCUUUUUAUGGUUUGUCCAAUCUAUUUAAUUUGGUAUGUGUAGAAAAGAUGUUAUGUCUACAUACUAUCAUCUUGUUAGUUCCGAAUACUAUCAUUCUGGUAAGUUCAUAUGUUUUUGUUUUGAGAAGUGCAUAUCCCCCAUGAAUACUAUCCUGGUGUCCUCCUCUUGAUAUGCCCAUGAGAACUGAUACAAUUUUUUCUGCAGGUUUCCUUGUUGAUUUAUGAGGGCUACACAAGUUUAAUUUUUACGGAAGUUGAACUCUAGGAUAUGGAGUUUGAUGGAUGUGGAGGUUCUGUCAAAUAUUUCUGGUUUAUGAAUUUUCUGAUUAAUACCAAGGAUCAGUGCCCUAGCCUAGCAUAUGAUAGAAAUGCCGGGUUGCAUGUCAGUGCGUACCUAUGGUCGUCGUCUUUGGACCAGGGUCCUUUUGUUUUGGUCUGGUAGCUUCUGGCUGCCCAUUCAUUAGUACUGGAGCAUAGCAUUCUGCGUUGUUUAAGCAAACAUUUAAAUUGUAUUACAAAUUGUUGUUCUUCCCUCUGUUCCACAAAAGAUUGUGUGUUCUUUUUUGAAUCUAUGUUAGAAAGAAGUGCAGAAAACAGUAGCAGAUAGAAAACAGUAGCAAAAGUUCAAAGUUCAAACUUUCAUCAGUCCAGUAUACAAAAAGCAACAAAAAGUUCACUCUAAAAAAACACCAGUAAUGUUAUGAUCUGAAUUUCCUUUGGCCAGUCUUUUUUAGUCUGUAGCAGAUAGAGUUCCCUCCAGUUCACCGACGCCUGCGCCACCGGGUGCAGCCACUGUGAGGCGGCGCCAACAAGCAGUAUGCACGGGGGCGGAGCAGCCUUCCAGUGUGUUUGCUGGACAGGAACAAUGUGUUGAUGUCGAGAAAAACAGAGGCAAUGUUAGGGAAUUCUGUUUUUUUUCUGAAGUAUUUAUUUGCAUGCAUAAGUUUGAAGAUUGUCGUAGAGCGAGUUCAAGUGUGCUAAAUCACGACGGGCGGUGAGAGUUCAUUUAAAUCACGACGUCUGAAUCGGGGUCAUCCCCUGCCACCAUGCUCCUACAUGGCCGGGUGGUCAUGAUGAUUAGCAGUAUGUACACAAAACAUCAAUGUUUGCUUGAUGGCCAUUCCUGAUCUACAUACUUAGGUAAGAUGCAUAUACAUCUAUGCAGGUGUGUUGAUGAAUUGGUUUACUAGUAGAACCUUGUAAAAACAUUCCCACUUUACUGUAUACACGUAGAUUUUUGAAAUUACUGUCUGCUGAUGUGGCUCAUAUGCUUGAACUUACAUCUAUCAAAAAAAUGACAUGUUAAUUUCAUGCACGGCCGCCGCGGUCGUCACUGACGGUGAGACGGUUGCUUGUGUGUGUAGGAGUACUAUGUAGUUGCAGAUUAGCUAUUACUCUCACUCGGCAUGGUUUGGAGGAGUGCUACCUAGUUGCACAUUGUAUCAGGACCUGCACGAGUUUCGGCCAAGGAACCAUCAUCGGGCAGCAGGGUGUCACCGGAGUUCUAUGCAACAACGGUCAUUGAACUCGGUAAGCCUUGCACAGAUAGCAUGUGCAAUGAUGAAUGCAUGAAGAUCUUUCUAGGUCCUGGCGACUGUGAGAAAGGCAAGUGCUUAUGGGGGUUUUGCGGAAGAAGAAAGGCUUAGCUUAACUGGCAUAGCAGUACUCAAAUCAGGUGUUGAUGUCGUGGAGGCUUUGGAUCUUUCCCUAGUUGCUUGACUCCAAUAAUAAUGCCUUUUGAGAUUGUACCAUUUUGUCGUCCUUUGGCCUUGUAUCGAACUUCUAGUCAUCUUGUUACAUCAGUUCAAAAGCAUAGAGGUGGCACUGCUGUA